rnacentral:rRNA from 1 species
AUUGAACGCUGGCGGCAGGCCUAACACAUGCAAGUCGAACGAGUGGCGGACGGGUGAGUAAUGUCUGGGAAAAUGCCCGAUGGCGGGGGAUAACUACUGGAAAAGGCAGCUAAUACCGCCUACCAUCGGAUUUGACCAGAUGGGCUUAGCUAGUAGGUGGGGUAACGUAUCACCUAGGCGACGAGCCGUAGCUGGUCGGCGAGGAUGACCAGCCACGCUGGAACGGAUGCACGGCCCAGACUCGUACGGGAGGGAGCAGUGGGGAAGGUUGCACAAUGGGCGCGAGCCUGACGUAGCCAAGCCGCGUGUAUGAAGAAGGCAUUCGGGUUGUAAACUUCUUUUAGUGAGAAAGCGUUACUCGCAGAAGAAGCAUCGGCUAACUCCGUGCCAGCAGCCGCGGUAAUAC